CCUACGGGCGGCACCAGUGGGGAAUAUUGGACAAUGGGCGAAAGCCUGAUCCAGCAAUGCCGCGUGUGUGAAGAAGGUCUUUGGAUUGUAAAGCACUUUCGACGGGGACGAUGAUGACGGUACCCGUAGAGGAAGCCCCGGCUAACUUCGUGCCAGCAGCCGCGGUAAUACGAAGGGGGCUAGCGUAGCUUGGAAUGACUGGGCGUAAAGGGCGCGUAGGCGGUUUAUGCAGUCAGAUGUGAAAUCCCCGGGCUUAACCUGGGAACUGCAUUUGAGACGCAUAGACUAGAGGUCGAGAGAGGGUUGUGGAAUUCCCAGUGUAGAGGUGAAAUUCGUAGAUAUUGGGAAGAACACCGGUGGCGAAGGCGGCAACCUGGCUCGAUACUGACGCUGAGGCGCGAAAGCGUGGGGAGCAAACAGGAUUAGAUACCCGGGUAGUC
rnacentral:rRNA from 1 species